rnacentral:rRNA from 1 species
UACGGAGGGUGCGAGCGUUAAUCGGAAUUACUGGGCGUAAAGCGUGCGCAGGCGGUGAUGUAAGACAGGUGUGAAAUCCCCGGGCUUAACCUGGGAACUGCAUUUGUGACUGCAUCGCUGGAGUGCGGCAGAGGGGGAUGGAAUUCCGCGUGUAGCAGUGAAAUGCGUAGAUAUGCGGAGGAACACCGAUGGCGAAGGCAAUCCCCUGGGCCUGCACUGACGCUCAUGCACGAAAGCGUGGGGAGCAAACAGG